UCCUGAGGGGGCAAACGACAGGCGGCCGCUUGGAGCAUGCGACGUGCAAUACAACCGGCCGCCCUCCAGCCCCACGGCUACACCCGCCCUCUGCUGCAGGCGGGGGGAGGAGCUGGUCGCGAGCCGGGCCUGAAGCCACUGCUGUGAGUGUGGAACGCGUGCAAACACACUCACUCUCCUCGGUGACGAGAUUCCAAGUCUCACGGGACCAAUUCUGUUCUCCGGACAGAAAGACAUUAUUUGUUGCUGACCCCACUGCCACUCUGCGGACGAGGGUCCUGUCCACCACCUAUCCUGACAGUCAGCUCCACUGAUGCUCACGCUGGUGCUCACACGGCCACGAUCAACAGCCCAGAUCCCAUGGCAUCAACUGCAACAGCCCUUACCAAAGUCACUGUCAUCAUCCACAAGGAUGAUUUCAUGAAGGAGCUGGGCUGGCGUGCGGUCUAGAACGCUGUGCACCGUACGAAGCAAGGCAGACAAGGCUUCAUUGUAGAAACAGAUAACGACACUGGCGACUGGCAGGUCCGCGGGGUAAGACUUGUCUUUACAUCUGUAAAGGCAUGUAUGAGAAAAGGCGACAUCUUAGGAGGUUCAAAUGUUUUAGGUCGUUAUUCACUCAACAUUAACUGCCCCUGUUCAGCCUCUUUCCUACAUUGUAAUGACAGUUUUUUAAAAACCACUGAAGAACACAUCACGUGUCUUACUCAAGAGGUUUACAUUUCAGUAAUUCCUCCCUCCAAUACCUGCUACUCCGCUUAUUUUUAGGUCAAUAUUUAAAAAAUGAUUUUUUUUUCUUUUUUGGUACAGAGUUUACAUAAAAACGUGUUAUUUGUAUGAAAUCACUAUAGGUUUUUAAUGCAGCACUCAUAAGCUAAUGAUCAGCUUCUCCACGAUAAACAUUCAAAAGAAAAUAAUAUAAAACUUUGUUUCUGAAAACUAUUUUUUGCCCAACUUUAGAAAAACACUUGAGCAAACCAGGAGACAUAAAUCAGGAUAACAGAAAAGCUUCUAUCGAGCAACUAUGUGAUGAAAAGGGUUGGGUGGCUUUAAGCAACAAUCAUAAAAAACCACCAGCUUACAGAAUAAAAUCUAGAAUUCCCUGUCCUUUCGUGCGGCAUACAAGCCUUCUCGCAUCUGGGCCCUGGCUACCCCCGGCCUCCUGUGUUCUUCUGCUACAGCCACAGUGACUGCUGUCAGUGCCUUUCCAAGCAGUGUACCAACUCCAUCUGUCUGCCAUGCAAGGGAGGUGUCCCCAGGCACGGGAGGUGUCUCCCAGGCCCGGGAGGUGUCCCCAAGCACGGGAGGUGUCCCCACGCACGGGAGGUGUCCCUUGUACACUGCUCAUCUCAAUGAGGCCUUCCCUGACCGCUCUGGUUUGGGGGUCCCCACUUCACCAAUUCCUACCACAGCCCUCAUUUACCACCGCAAUUACUCAAUUCCUUAUCUAACUCCCCUGCUAGAUCCUAAGCCCUGUGAUCCAGGGACGGCACCUUACUCUGCUUAUUCCCAAACCUAAUACAGUGUCUAGAAAACAAAGGUGUUCAAAAAGGUCUAUGGAUGGGCUGGCCAACCACAUGAAUGAAAAGCCUUUGAAGCAACAAAGAUAAUGAAGACAGAAAAGUGAGAUGAUGAAUAAAAUUCUUCACUGAUUUUUGAUCCCUUUACCACAAAUCCAAUAAAUAAACAUCGAAAACAAACUUAUGCUCAGAAGGUUAUCUAAUUAUAUGCGGUUAGUACCUCCCUGCUUUUCCCUAGGAUUUUAAGUUUCAAGGGAGCAGCAAGCCGUGGAAGGCUGUUAGUACAAUCUCAGCCCACGGGGCUUCAAGGCCGGCGGAGCGGAAAUCUGUCCUAAGUGGUCUAGUGUCCUGAAUACCGAAGUCUAACUGCAAAGUAUCAACACCGUCCCCGUGACUUACGACGCUGCCACUAACAGCACCGCGUCAUUAAAACGCAGGCGCACACACUAGCGAGAAGCGAGAAACGAGAAACGUACGCGGCGUUCCUGGUGUCGGGCACAUCUCUGCGGUAGCCCAAGCGGUUACUGAUGAGCAUGUUGAAGGCGUGUCUCUGAUAGCCCAAGUCUCUCAACUCCUGAUCACGUUCAUCAAAAAUCAUGCCUGCAAAGUUUUACCAAAAUGGCGGUAAAUACGUAAAGAAGCUAGAAACUUUCCUGUUAAUGCUUUUAAAAGGCCUAUACAGCAGUCUGAAAGUCUAUUUUAUGAAAAUUGAGGUAUUAGUUUCCAUUUCCUCCUGUCAUUUUAAAUACUUUCAACUGCAUGUAUUAGAAAAUCAUGAAGUCCUAGAAACAGAUUUUAUUUCUUUGAAACUAUGAUCAAAUGAAAAAAGAAUCUAUUUUAACCUUUCCUUUAUUAAUUGUGGAUCUUUCAAUCUCUCAAAAUCUCUUUUACUCCUAACAUUACUUAUUAUUUGAGAUUUCUAAGGACAAGAUUAAAGUUCUUUCUUUGUUAAGUUUUAACGGUAACCAAAAUGGCUCAUUUAUCCCUUAAAAUAAAACUGCUAAAACCAGGACUCCAGAAUUACAGUGUGCAAAAGACAUAUACAGUAGAUUCUCACUUCCAGAUUGAACAGAAUAUAACUUCUGAAGAAAAAAGUUUCCCUUUUAUACUAAGAUUUUAUAAACUCCUAUAUUUAAUAUACUCCAGCAUCUUAACAAUUCUUAUAAGUAGAAAUCUUAUUAGAUAUAAGUAAUCUCAGCUUACCUCUAAACCCAAUGGUUUAUGUUCUGUUUUAAUUAACUCUGCCUUUCAAAAUAUGUUAUAUAUAGUCAAGUUACCUUUCAACCAUUUCUUUCCCUUAUUAAAUAAUGCUAACAAUUAAAAUCCUCCCCCAUAGGUUCCAUUUUCUUUCCAGUCACUUAAUUUUUCUUUCUUUCUUUUCUUUGUUUUCUACUCUGGACCUUAUUACUUUCUCCCAAGUCCUCAUAAAAUAUUGAAGUCAGAAACAGUAAAUUAGAAUAUAACUCCCCACUGAGUCUGCAAAAUCCUAGAACCUCAACGAGUUCAUUAACAAAAUAAAUUGGUGGGUGAAAAUGACCCAUUUCUAAUCCCCUCUGCAACACAUGACUCGAAGAACCGAGCUUAAAGCUCCAAUGAUUAAAUACUCUGACAUGCUACUAGAAGUCGAACACACUUACCCAAUUCAGAAGAGAAUUUCGUGUUGCCUUUUUCUGGAUCUUCAACAUGAUUAUCUAUCAUGUCAUCAAUUCUGUUUACUUUGAACUGUGACUCUAACACUCGACUUGGGCCUCGAGUGAAACGGGGAUAGAAUUUUUUGGGAAAAGGGCCAUGGGGCCCGGACCCCUUGAUGGGCACAUUCUUAAGUGGCUGAGUCACUUCACUGAAGUUGAAAUAAAUAAAAAGCAAAACCGUCCAGGUCGCAGAUGUGAAAAGGCAUCCGUAACAGAAAUAUCGAGCUGUGACACUUCCCAUUAUAGACCUAACAUCG